rnacentral:misc_RNA from 1 species
UUCAACAGUAAUUUUUUUUUUUCCAAAUCUAUUUAUUUAUAGUGAGGCAUUUGGAAGAAAUUUGGAUAGCCUGCCAGGUCUAUCUGUAUUGCUUACUAAGACAAUGCCUGAGUUUCGUAGUCUUAAUAUCAGCAAAAUUGCAGUCAACCUUUUGUAUCUGAGUAUAUGCAUUUUCUACAACACUAGUUUUUUUUGCUUCUUUUAACUAUAUUUUAUGAUAUAUGGAUGGUUUUUUGUAAUCAAAUAAGGCUAUUCUUGCGUGAUAAUGUUAUAUAUGAGUGCAUUACAAGCUGAUUGUUUGGUCAAACAGCUUCAAGA